UACGUAGGUGUCAAGCGUUGUCCGGAUUUAUUGGGCGUAAAGCGCCCGCAGGCGGCUUGCCAAGUUCGAUGUGAAAUCUCCCGGCUCAACUGGGAGGGUGCAUCGAAAACUGGCAGGCUUGAGGCAGGGAGAGGGAUGUGGAAUUCCAGGUGUAGUGGUGAAAUGCGUAGAUAUCUGGAGGAAUACCGGUGGCGAAGGCGGCAUCCUGGACCAUUACUGACGCUGAGGCGCGAAAGCUAGGGGAGCAAACGGG
rnacentral:rRNA from 1 species